UGCUGCUCCUUCAUGUUUCACAUCCUCCCUCAAAUCUGGAGGGAUUCUUCCCGCAAGAUUUGAAUUAGGCGGCUCUGAUGGUGGCGACUGCACUGGGACUAGCUUGUGGCGAUGUCGCGGGAAGGCAUCGGUACCUAGUACCUUGAUGAAUCCAUCCGCGGGCUGCAAGCUUGUAGGUACAUAUUCGAUCUUAAGUACCCAUUUGUUUAUUAAUUCUCUUACAAAGUAGUAUGAUAUUUCCAUAUGUCUUGAGCGUGAUGUAAUUGUAGGAUUUUUGGCCAUGAAUAUUGCGGAUCGGCUAUCACAUAGUAGAGUUGGGGGUGAUAAUAGUUUGAUCCCCAAUUCUCUAAAUAAAUAACAAUACCAUCUAACCUCUGAUGUAACACGGGCCAUGGCCUUGAAUUCUGCCUCUGAACUUGAGUUCGAGACUGUCGGUUGCUUUUUAGCAGACCAUAACAGUAGGUUAUUUCCAUACCAAACACUUAUCCAGUGAUGGAUCUUCUGUCUGGUGAUCCUCCCCAAUCAGUCUUUAUAGGCUAUUAGAUUCAUGGUAUCCCCUGAUCCUUUAGUUCUCAAUCCCAAGCUUGUUGUCCCUUGCAAAUAUCUGAAAAUCCUAUUAACUGCCAAUAAGUGCCCUUCUUUAGGAUUUUAGAGAAACUGACACACCUGAUUGAUUGCAAAGAAUAGAUCAGGUCUAGUGAGGGACAGAUACUACAAACUCCCAACUAUACUUUUAUAUCCUGUGAUAUCUUCCAAAGGGUCCCCCAUAUCAUGAUGUAAUUUUGUUGAUAAGGUCAUAGGUGUUCUUACUGAAUUUUACUAAUUAUAGCCAAACCUUUUCAAUAUUUCUCUCACAUGAUUCUCCUGGGACAACACCACAUUCUCACCUUGAUAUAUGCACUGAAUACCUAAGAAAAAACUGAGCUUAUGUGGGGACCAAGGUGGUUUUGGAUAGAUAUUGGAUUAUAUAUUUACACUGGAUUUCUGGUGCGGUUCGCCGCACCGGAAACCCAGUGCGGUAGUGUCCUCGAUGACGAGUGAAUCCAAUCCUACGGCAUGGAGGACAAACCACACGUCCUCCAUGCCGCGAACUUCAUCGGGCGCGUUCGCCUCCAUACCGCGAACUUCAUCGGACGCGUUCGCCUCCAUGCCACGAACUUCAUCGGGGCGCGUUCGCCUCCAUGCCGCGAACUUUGGGUGGUUGGAUCUCCCCGCCGCACCAAACCGCACCAAAAGCGGAUCCUAUAUAUUUAUUACUUUAAAUGGGAGGGUGCAAACAAUAGAGUAUUGUUCGUAAUCUUUACACAACUUGAUUAGCCCAGUUGGUCACAAACACUUUAAUUUCUAUUUACUUUUGUACCACGUACCUUAUCAAAAGAAAAGUAUUGUUCGCAAUCUGGUUGAAAAGUGAUGUAGCACAUUCGUUAAUGGCACUAGGAAAGAGGCUAUUUCCUUUAAAUCAAACAUGGACCAAAUCAGACCUACUGUGGAUUCGCAUUUUUGGAAAGCUUUUGUUUCAGAAAGAAACCUAGUGGAUAAAUGUUUGGAUUGUAGAGCGAAUAGUACGAUUAUGUGGAGAUCUGGUAGUCCGAUAAAUAAAUUGGGGGGAAUAGUGGAAAGUAUUAGAGAUAGAAAGCAUAAAGACAUGUUAGCUGAGGGAAUUUAGUCGAAGAUGCCGACAAAAUUCUCUAUUCUCUUGUGGAGGGUGAAAUGGGAUCAUCUAAACACGUUCAGGAAAUUAAGAAAUUGGAGAGUACAAGUACCUCCUGCUUGCUUAUUGUGUAAUCUGGAAGAUGAAACUAGGAGUCAUCUUUUCUUUAACUGUUCUUAUUCCAGAUCUCUCUUAAUUUCGUUGGCGGAACAGCUGGAUUUCGCUUUCUGGAAGAUAAUGAAUAUUCCAAUUCCUACCCAAUCAAGUCCAGAUAUUAGAUUGGGGGAUCUGACGGAAGCAGCACAAAAGAUUACGCGCCACUCCCCCCCUUGGGGGUUAAUAUGGAAUGCUAUUGGGUGCUUGUCGUGGCAUAUAUGGACGGAAAGAAAUAAAAGGUAUAGGCAGCACAUUAGUAGACCUCCUGAGGUAGUCCUUAAGGAGGUCAUUAAAGACAUCAGUCUCUCCUUUGAUUCAGUGUAUUACAAGAAGAGAUGUUGUCACCCUUUGGAGAUAUCUAUGAUGGAAGUAUGGGAGACCAACCUUCUGAGGCAGCGUAUCUAGUUACUGUAUAACUAGACUACAUAGCUAAUGGGAGAGAGUCAAUGAGCAUUUUGCUCAUUUCUUUUUUUACUUCUAUUUUAUUCCUAUUCUCUAUUUUGUAAACUUGGCAUUAGCCUUAUUCUAAUGAAAUUUAAUUGCUUCAAAAAAAAAAAAAAAAAAAAAAAACAUGGACCAAAAGCCUAUUUCCUUUAACAAAGGCCCAUCAUUACAUGGAGAGUAUAUAUAUGGAGGAUAGAGGAUGGAAUCGGCAGUUUUUGAUUUAUUUGCUUAAUUUGUUAUUUCCUGGACAGGUCUUUUCCCUCAGUGUUUUCCCUCAGUCUUUUCCCACACAGUCUUUUCUCUUGUAUUUUCUGGUGGAUUUCCAGAAUCAUUGGUGGAUUCCAGUGUUUUUCCCUCAGCUUAUGUGGAUUCAGAAGAUUUAUCAAACAAUUGAUCUUCACUAAGAUCAGCUGGCAUCAAAAAAUCUUUUUGUGUUUUUGAUGAGGGAGGGAACCUCGCCAGUGUUUUGUAAAUUAGUUUCAUUAGGAUUAGUAUUCAUUUCUUAUCACUUGAUUUUUUUGGGUUGCUUGGUUGUUGUAAUUUGUAAAUACUAUUUAUAUUAUAUCUAAUUGAAAUGUAAAAAUUUAUUAUACUCACUUUGAUUGCUUAAAUGAAUCAGUUUAAUCUAGAAAAAUCCUAGAGUAUCAAGAUAU
rnacentral:lncRNA from 1 species